rnacentral:rRNA from 1 species
UGCCUAAUACAUGCAAGUCGAGCGAGCGGAACUAACAGAUUUACUUCGGUAAUGACGUUAGGAAAGCGAGCGGCGGAUGGGUGAGUAACACGUGGGGAACCUGCCCCAUAGUCUGGGAUACCACUUGGUAACAGGUGCUAAUACCGGAUAAGAAAGCAGAUCGCAUGAUCAGCUUUUAAAAGGCGGCGUAAGCUGUCGCUAUGGGAUGGCCCCGCGGUGCAUUAGCUAGUUGGUAAGGUAAAGGCUUACGCAAGGCGAUGAUGCAUAGCCGAGUUGAGAGACUGAUCGGCCACAUUGGGACUGAGACACGGCCCAAACUCAUACGGGAGGCAGCAGUAGGGAAUCUUCCACAAUGGACGCAAGUCUGAUGGAGCAACGCCGCGUGAGUGAAGAAGGUUUUCGGAUCGUAAAGCUCUGUUGUUGGUGAAGAAGGAUAGAGGUAGUAACUGGCCUUUAUUUGACGGUAAUCAACCAGAAAGUCACGG